rnacentral:rRNA from 1 species
CUACCUGGUUGAUCUGCCAGUAGUCA